AGGAAUAUUGGUCAAUGGGCGCAGGCCUGAACCAGCCAAGUAGCGUGAAGGAUGACUGCCCUAUGGGUUGUAAACUUCUUUUAUAUGGGAAUAAAGUUUUCCACGUGUGGAAUUUUGUAUGUACCAUAUGAAUAAGGAUCGGCUAACUCCGUGCCAGCAGCCGCGGUAAUACGGAGGAUCCGAGCGUUAUCCGGAUUUAUUGGGUUUAAAGGGAGCGUAGGUGGAUUGUUAAGUCAGUUGUGAAAGUUUGCGGCUCAACCGUAAAAUUGCAGUUGAAACUGGCAGUCUUGAGUACAGUAGAGGUGGGCGGAAUUCGUGGUGUAGCGGUGAAAUGCUUAGAUAUCACGAAGAACUCCGAUUGCGAAGGCAGCUCACUAGACUGCAACUGACACUGAUGCUCGAAAGUGUGGGUAUCAAACAGGA
rnacentral:rRNA from 1 species